rnacentral:lncRNA from 1 species
GGGCAGUCUCAACGGAUGAUUUCUAGUUGUAGUCUCCAAGAAUAAUUAAUGCCUAUAGAAAUCAUCCUUCCCAACCCAUGAUUUCUAUAGCAAUAUUCAUUCACAGGAUAAAUUAAAUGAAUCAUUAAAAUGAGAUGGAUCAAUUGUGGCAACUAGCUCUCUACAACACACAAUGCAACAUAGUUCAAAUAUGCUUUUCCAAAACACACAUUGUUCAAAUAUGCUUCCCAGAACACACAUAGUUCAGAACACACAUAGUCCAGACGAUGGCAAAGAAAAGAAAUCAAAUAUGCUUCCGAGAACACAUAUAGUUUAGAACAGAAUUUAGAUAUAAAGAUAAUAGAUACCACAUAGUUCAAUACACACAAAUUUAUAGAUAAAGAUAACAAUGACAUCAUACAUCAGGAGAUUUCAUAUAGUUGGGCAACAGAAUAACUAAAGUUCAUGAUAUAUUAUAGUAUAUAAAAUAAUAUAAGGUGCCACCAUCAGGUUUGCACGGCAUCAUCUCAAGUAGGUCCAGCAGUCAUCCAGAAGCCAUCAGGCUGCAAAAUUCAUCCAGAAACCAUCAAGUUUCGUAGCAUCAAUACAAGUGAAAGAAUAAGAAACAAUAAAUAAAAAAUAACAAACAUAAACAUGGAGAGAAAAAACAUAAACAUGUAUAUCUAUAGAAACUGAUCUACUAUUAGUUAUAUGUACCUAAUUAUUUUGCCUAUAUGAGUUCCUAAACUUUUCCGAAGUACUAUUUGAGUUCAGCAAAUUGGUAAACCCUUCCCCAUCUUACUUGCAUAUACUAUAACUAAUUGUAAUGCUGAAAGCCCAAGUUUGGUUUUGGUAAUUAAUGACACCAAGUUGCUAAUGCUUUGUGUUUAAGUGAUUUGAGUUAGGCAUAGAAACACAUGUGAUGAAGGUGCUUGGUGGCAUGGAAAGGUGGCCACAUGAUCAUAAAGGGAUGAAGCAUGAAGUGAAGAUCAUGGUGAUAAAUGAGGAGCAAAGUUAUCAAGGCAAAGGUAUAAACAUAGGGUUUUACUUUCGCCGGUCUAAGAUGAGUAGAGAAGUGAUUGACCGGGUUUAGGAUAGAUAGCCGACUAUCAAGAGGGGAAAUCACGGUCAUCUCUCGAAUCAAGUGCUACUAGGUCCAUAUCUUGAGCAUAUGCAUUAGGAUCUAGUAAAGUGCUAACUUAACUCCUUUGGGAAAACUGUUUGUGAAAAGCUAAUACACGUGCACUUUGGUGGUGGACACGUGUUGGUGUUAGCACAUUUACAAAGGAGGUGGAGUUCCUAGGGUUGAGAGGGGUGUGGGUUCCUCUCUCCCUCCCGCCGAGCUUGCGAGGCGGGAUUCGGCGCUUUUGAGAAAAUUAAGUAUAUAUUUUCUAUUGCGCCGGNNNNNNNNNNNNNNNNNNNNNNNNNNNNNNNNNNNNNNNNNNNNNNNNNNNNNNNNNNNNNNNNNNNNNNNNNNNNNNNNNNNNNNNNNNNNNNNNNNNNNNNNNNNNNNNNNNNNNNNNNNNNNNNNNNNNNNNNNNNNNNNNNNNNNNNUUUGACAAACUCUCUGCGCAUGAGUCCGGUGAGCACCGGACGCGUCCGGUGAGGACUUGCAGAGCGUCCGGUGGUCCGCAAGUGACCGUUAGAAUCUGACUCGCGAAUUCAAAGAGGACACGUGGCCUAUCCCUGAGCACCGGACGCCGGGGGUUGAGCGUCCGGUGAUCACUUAGUAGCGUCCGGUGCCCCCGAUUUCAGCCCAGUGAAAGUGGCCAAUGGCUAGUUUCUUUGAGGGGCUUAUAAAUAGAAGGUGGCUGGCUUUGGGAGGCGAACUCUUGCACUUUUGAAUACUUGAGGCAUACUUUGAGCUAGAGAACACUCCCUCCACUCAUCUCCUUGCUUGAUUGCUAAUCCUAGUGAGAUUGAGUGAGAUUCAAGUGCAUUGCUUUGAGAGUUGCAUUUAGUGGCACUUGAUUCUUGAGUUUGCUGCGGAUUUCUUGUUACUCUUGGGUGUUUUCCGACGCCCUAGACGGCUUGGAGCAGCGGUGGUGUUGAGCUCGUGAUUGGAGAUUGUUUCGAGCCUCACCAAGUGAUUUAUGAGGGGUUCUUGAGCCUUCCCCGCGGGAGAUCGCAAUUGGCUACUUUAGUGGAUUGCUCGUGGCUUGGAGGAUCCCCAUCUUGUGAGUGGAUGUGCGGCACCCGCUGAGGGUUUGGCUUUGGAUUGCCAAUUAGCUCGUGAUCCAUCAAGUGGGAGUAUCGCCACAACGAGGAGUAGCUUGCCGGGAAGCAAGUGAACCUCAGUAAAAAAUAUUGUGUCAUCUCUUGCCGAGGAUUCUCUUGUGAUUGUGAGUGAUUGGUUGGUUAUAUCUCUACUCUACAACGUUGGUAUAACAAUCACUCUCCACUCCUUUACUUACUUGUAUACCUUGCUAGUUGUUUAGCUUGUUUAGUUUAGUCCUCUUGUUUAGGAGUGUAACUAGCCUUCUCUUGUUGUUGUGCUUUAGUGUUUAGCCUUGUACUAGUUUGUAUAGGUGGCUUGCAUAGCUUAGUUGAGCUAGUGCUAGAUUUGCUUCGCCAUUUGUUUUACUAACUCGCUUGCUUAGUGAAGUUUGUAGAAGUUUUAAUUAGGCUAUUCACCCCCCCUCUAGCCAUUUGGACCUUUCAAAUGCAUCUCAUAUAAUCCAGGAUUAAAAGAGCUUGUACGCAGUCAGAUAUUGUUGAUUAAAAAAACUGCACAACUUGAUACUAAAUACAAGUGCAGUUUUCAUGAAACAGGAUGCUAACAAAACUGCACAACCUACUAGUGUCAAUAAUCUAUUUUAGUUCUUAAUUGAUCAAGCAGGAGAGAACUCAGAAAGGAUUAUAAUGUGGAAAUCUAUAUUAUAAUGUGGAAAUCUAUAUUUGGCAGCAAAAAGGAAUGAAAUUGUCAGUGUUGUAGCAGCAUAGUUACAGCAUAAAUUUGGAAUAGGAAAGAAGGUUGUUUGACACAUCGUAUCAUUGCAGUGAGGGUAUGCAGUAUUGAAACAAGAGAGUCCAGAAACUUGCUAUUAACGACACUGCAACACUGAAUUUCCUGAAGAGUUACAGCAGGUUUGAAGAACAUACCCUUCAGUAAGAGAUGAAUCAUGCCUAAAGAAGGCCCCAAGAGAUGCAUUGUCCACCAUACAGGAACACCGACGACUUGAACAGUAGUUGCAGCAUCGCCGGUGGCCGGAGCAGAGGUUGCCGCACCAUGGGCGGCUGCUGAUCCAGAGCCUUGCGUGGAACCACUCACUCGAUUCAUUCUCUGAGAGAUUGAGGGCAGAUUUUGAUUCAUGAAGAUUGAGGUGGGAAAUCGAUUGAGGAAGGGCUACUGUGCUACAGAUUUUUUAGGGGAUUUGGAUGAGGCGCGAGAGAGGGAUUUGGUGUCCGCCAGUAACAAAUUUGGUGUGUGCCGGUGAUGGAUUCGGGAGAGGGGCACGGGAAGAGUGUGCGGGACGAGCAACGACGGCGCGCACAGGACGAGCAGGAGCGUGCGGGGGAAGGGAGGUUGGCGGCGGCGCAAGGGAUCCGGUCCAGAGGUGGAAGAAACGAGCCGGGUCUCCCCAACGCCGAUUCCAUCGUUUCUUGGCACAUCGGUACGAGUGAAGACCCAGUUUCGUUUGGAGGAAACGGUUUCUUCUGUUUUCCUUCUCUCUCCAUAAUAAAGCUCCCGCCACAUCAGCAAAUUGCAGAGUUGUCAAGAUAAUUAAGAUAGAUAGAAACUAUCAUUAAUGUCCC